UACGUAGGGUGCAAGCGUUAAUCGGAAUUACUGGGCGUAAAGCGUGCGCAGGCGGUGAUGUAAGACAGAUGUGAAAUCCCCGGGCUCAACCUGGGAACUGCAUUUGUGACUGCAUCGCUGGAGUACGGCAGAGGGGGAUGGAAUUCCGCGUGUAGCAGUGAAAUGCGUAGAUAUGCGGAGGAACACCGAUGGCGAAGGCAAUCCCCUGGGCCUGCACUGACGCUGAGGUGCGAAAGCGUGGGGAGCAAACAGG
rnacentral:rRNA from 1 species